rnacentral:rRNA from 1 species
GACGAACGCUGGCGGCGUGCCUAACACAUGCAAGUAGAACGCAGUUGCGAACGGGUGAGUAACGCGUAUGUAACUGCCUCAUAGCGGGGGAUAACUAUUGGAAACGCUAGCUAAUACCCCAUACUGUGAGAUGGACCUGCGUUGUAUUAGCUAGUUUGUGGGGUAAAGUCUCACCAAGGCGACGAUACAUAGCCGACCUGAGAGGGUGAACGGCCACCCUGGGACUGGGGAACGGCCCAGACUCCUACUGGGGGCAGCAGUAGGGAAUCUUCGGCAAUGGACGGAAAUCUGACCGAGCAACGCCGGGUGAGUGAAGAAGGUUUUCGGGUUGUAAAGCUCUGUUGUGAGAGAAGCGGUAACUAAACAGAAAGGAACGGCUAACUCCGUGCCAGCAGCCGCGGUAAUAC